rnacentral:rRNA from 1 species
GAUGAACGCUGGCGGCGUGCCUAAUACAUGCAAGUCGAGCGAACAGAUGAGGAGCUUGCUCCUCUGACGUUAGCGGCGGACGGGUGAGUAACACGUGGAUAACCUACCUAUAAGACUGGGAUAACUUCGGGAAACCGGAGCUAAUACCGGAUAAUAUAUUGAACCGCAUGGUUCAAUAGUGAAGGACGGUUUUGCUGCCACUUAUAGAUGGAUCCGCGCCGCAUUAGCUAGUUGGUAAGGUAACGGCUUACCAAGGCAACGAUGCGUAGCCGACCUGAGAGGGUGAUCGGCCACACUGGAACUGAGACACGGUCCAGACUCCUACGGGAGGCAGCAGUAGGGAAUCUUCCGCAAUGGGCGAAAGCCUGACGGAGCAACGCCGCGUGAGUGAUGAAGGUCUUCGGAUCGUAAAACUCUGUUAUUAGGGAAGAACAAAUGUGUAAGUAACUAUGCACGUCUUGACGGUACCUAAUCAGAAAGCCACGGCUAACUACGUG